CAGAACUGUCAACACAUUGAUUUAUUGUUUAUCAUAAUCAGUUCUUCCUGUUCACUGUAUUCCCGAACAGUAUAACCUACUUAUUAAAAAUAAGUGAACUAUACUCAAAACAGUGAAACAGUUCAUUCAACUUAAAACUUUUAAGUUUGUUCAACGAUUUGGCCGUUUUAAGUUCCAGGAACUCAAAUAAAAUAAGUAAAACUUGAUGUCAUCUUAAAUACCAUAGCCUUACUUUUGCCUCUUGGUGGCGUGUAAUGAGCUUUAUUGCGUUCCAAUCUGCCAAUUCAAUAAAGAAGAGUCUCUAGUCUAUUUUUACAGUCUAUGGUCUACACUCAAAAACAUUUUAAAGCCUUUUUAAAAGAUAUACAAAUUUCAAUAGUAAAAUUCCAUCAAUUUGAGUUUAAUGUUCCUUACAUUUUAAUUGAAUUUAUUAAAGAUUGUUCAAUUAUUCAGUUAGAAUAUGUAAGGGUUAUUCAAUUCAAUGGAAUUUUACUAUUAAUUGAAAUGCAUAAAUCUUAAAAAUAAAAUGUUUUAAGUAUUCUCAAUGCAAUAGUGCAUUGAGAAUACUUUAAAACAUACUAGGUAAACUCUCCAAAACAGACUAGUCAACAUGACUAUCAUGCUAUGUCCGUUUAUGUCAUGUUUUACUGAAAUGACUGUAAAAAUAACAACGGAGUAAAACCGAGUAAAACGAAUUACCAUAGCCUUAUUUUUGCAUCUUGGUGGCAGUAAUGAGCUUUAUUGAGUGCCUAUCAAUCUGCCUACGAAAAAGAAGAGUCUACUCGGCGCACUUUUUUAUUUUUAAAAACAUAACAUACCAGGUAAAACUAUCCAAAACACAACAAAGAGUCAACAUAUAAAUGUCAUGUCCGUUUAUUUCAUGGUUUACUCAAAUGACUAAAAAAUAACGGGAGUAAUAAUUCCCAUUUGAAAUCGAGCGCUCAGAUUUGAACUUGGAAGCCCGCCAUGUCAUGCAGGAUUCGUUGCCUCAACGUGGUUCUGGAGAAUCAGUUUCGUUCAUCUUCGUCGUUUCUGUGUUUGCUGCGGUUUGUUUAGUGGCUAUAAUGUGGUAAGUACUUCUUAACUUUUUUAAAAAAAAGUUAUUCAAGUAAUCUGCAUCAGAAUGUGACAGAAAAGUCAUCCAACUGAACGUUACUAAAAUGAUUAGGCCUGCAUGUUGCGAUGUUAUUUGUGGAUUGAUUUAACUAAAUUUAAACAAUUAAGGGACAGAGUUGAUUUAUGUACGCAAUUGCAUCGCACGGAUAUUAAUUUGUGGCACUGUUGGUUAUCGCAGUUGCUUUUAUCGAAGCUUUUCGGUUACAGAACCUAAAUUGAAACAGGAAAAAAAAAAAAGAUUUAAUCUUACUUGUUUUUUUAACUGAUGCUUAGAAUUAAAUUAGCUGUAAUCCAAGGUAAAAAAUUUUAAAUUCUGAAAUUGUUGUAUUUGACAUGUCUCUGCCUCACUAUUAAUUUGUGUUUUUAUUUUCUAUACAGGUUCAAACUUGUGAGACCAGAGCAUAUGUGAGUAAAAUUACAAUUUGGAAUUCGGGGGUGAAAAUACAUGACUAAAAGUAUGCAGCAUUUUAAAACUCCAACUGAUUUUAGAGGUUGGCAUAGCUCAUAGUUUUCUCAUGUCUUGUCAUUUUAAAGAUUUGGAUUUGAGUGAUGGAUUGGAAAUGCAGGUUAUGUGAUUCCUCCUCACUUACUCGAGCACAGCUACUUCGGCAUUAUGGUUUGCAACAUAGCCAUUUUUCAAAGCAGAUAAUCUUGCAGCUCACGGAUUGGCAGGCUUUGUACAGUCAUUUCGUUCAGAGUAUGUGUGCAGAUUCUGUCUGGCAACUCAAGACCAGUUUCAAUCGCAUGAUGUGGCUGAGGGUGAAUUCAGUCUGAGAACUAAGGUAACUCAUGAUCUGCAUGUCCAGAAUGUCUCCAGUAGAACUGGGGAAAUUAUUUGUGGUGUGAAAGAGGACUGUGUCUUAAAACAAAAGCUGCAGUAUUUUCAUCCAAUCACUGGUUUCCCCCCGAUAUUCUCCAUGACCUCCUUGAAGGUAUUGUGCCAGUAGAGUUGGCUUUAUGCAUUCAGAAAAUGAUUCGUCUGAAACACUUCACGCUUGAUUAUUUGAACAGGAAAAUUGAAUCAUUCUCAUAUCAGCAUACAGAUAAGGUUGAUAAACCAAAGCCAAUUUCCAAAACUUAUACCACAAAAAUGACAAUAGGUGGUAAUGGUCAUGAAAAUGCUGCAUUACUUCGGCUACUUCCAUUUAUGGUUGGCAAUGUUGUACCAGAGGGAGAUAGUGCAUGGGCAGUGUUAAUGGAAUUGAAAGACAUUGUGGAGUUAGUGCUUUCUCCAACAUUAGGGACCACAGGCAAAUUCUUCUUGAAGUAUUUCCAGAUUUUAAGCUUCGGCCAAAGCAUCACUUCAUUGAACAUUACCCAGAGCUGAUCAGAUGUUUUGGACCUCUUGUACAUUUAUGGACCAUGCGUUUUGAAGGCAAACACCGCUUCUUCAAACGGGUUGUGCAUGAUACACAGAAGUUUAAAAAUGCGCUGAAGACACUGGCAAGCAGACACCAGCAUAUGAUGGGUUACCAUCUAAGUGCGCCAGCGUUCUUCAAACCACAUUUGCAGGCAUCAACUGUGACAUCUGUUUUAGUUUCAACUCUACCUGAAGUGGCAAUACAGUAUAUUAAACAGAAGACUGAUAGUAACACUAUAUACUGUGCAUCUCGAAUCACCAUUGAUGGGACAAAUAUUUCUACUGGGGAAUAUUUUCCUGCUGGUUAUGAAGCAGGGUUACCUCAGUUUUGUAAAACUGAGUCAGUCCUCCUUGUGAACGAUCGUGUGGCCUUCCUAUGCAGGGAGCACAAGUCCCAUUAUAUUGAACACCUAAGAGCUUUUAAUCUGUGUUUAGGUGAUAUAUCUGUUAAAACUAUAACAGAUUUGAGCGACACAUCCCCCCUUUCUGCCUACAGCAUAGAGGGCCAGUUGCUGUUGACGCCAAAGCGAUUUCUGCCUUUACAAUAAGAUGGCAGAAUCACAAAAACUUUUACUGAGAGUUUACAUUGCUCCUGACAUUGCCCACAAGAUGACCCUUUCUACACGACCAAGUACAGUAGAAGAGUUGAUUACAGUGAUCAAAGAGAAAUUCAGACCUCGUCUUGAUUUUGAUUUCAGCCUCCAAUAUGAAGGCCCAGAUUUUUGGGGGCAACUCUGCUUUCUAACACAUUUCAGAACUGCCAGAGAAGGCUGUAUUGAAAGUACACCGAUCUGAGACUGAUGCUGGCUCAGCUGCAACUUCAGACACAGAAAUGCUCACUUAUGCCCCAGGACGCUUGCAGAGUUGGCCUGAUGUGUUCCAAGUUCCUCAAUUUUCAUAUGACGUCGAGCACACCCUAAAUAGUGGAAAUACGGCCUAUCAAAACAGUGGAAAAUUCUUAAAAUUAACAAAAGGCCAAAAACAUGACAUUCUAGAAAAUAUGGCCAAGGCAAUGCACAGCUUUAAGGCUUACCCCAGCGACAAAGUAGCUAAAGCAGCUGAGGCUCUUAUUUCUAAGCAUCCCUGCCUCACAGAACCAGGAAGUCAAUGUGGAUGGUAUGGCUGGAAGACAAGCUUAAAGUUUAAGAUGGGCAACUAUCGUACAAAACUCAGCAGAUCUGGCUGUGAAGAGGUGGCUGUUAACUCGGGGAAGAGAAUCCAAAAUAAUCCAGAGAGUGAGUCUCCCCACUCCAACAUCAAAAGAGCUUGUUGAGCUGAGGUAAACUACCUACCAAAUUUUCCAAAAGGAGAGAGUGCUGAAAGCUUGGAACAACAAAGAUUGCAAAUAGUUGAGGAAGUGUCUAAGACAGAAAGAAGUCUUGGGCUGAUUGUGACGAGUCUCUACUCAUCUUGCUAUGGCGGGCUAGUGGGUGUGGCUAGAAGACUCAUCAAGGGAACGAUGUCCACCUGUUCAUCCCUCUAUAAAAGUUAGGCUGGCUAGUGUAGAUGGGGGGGUCUGUUCUCCGGGUUAUUUUGUGUUUGAUUUGGGCUCGGCUUUUUGUUACCUUGAUGAGUCUUCUAGCCACACCCACUAGCCCGCCAUAGCAAGAUGAGUAGAGACUCGUCACAUGAUAGAGAAACUCAUGCAAAGUACAUUUGCGCUGCGUCGCAAACAGAUCGUUGUAGAUAACCCAUCACAACCAGUGAAGGACUUUUUGGAAAAGUGGCCUGCACUUCGUUUGGAAUCUCAGAUUGCUGCAGAAUUCCACAGAAUUACUAAUAUCAGCUUGAAAAACAAGUUCUAUGCAGAACUGGACAACCAUACUCCUCGACUGAUUGCUGUUUACAGGCAGAAGGCUGCCCGUACUGGCAAAGCAGCAGAAGCACUGAGAAGCAUCUUUAGUGCCUUUGAUCUUGUGGAUCACUACGAUAUUGACAAUAGACGUACAGCUGCACUUCGAGCCCUCCCUGUCUACUUGCGCGAAGAUGACUCUGUGUUUUUCAAGAUGUGGAAUACUUAAGAGGUGGAUGAGCCAGACAUUGCAGAUUCAGCUGUAGCUCUUGUCAGCAUGGUGAAUGGAGACUUGACUUCCACUGUUCAGUUUGACCCUGCUCGGAUUGCUAUUGUGCUGGAAGGUGACAUUGUUCUAAGGGACAUUUCCAGGUUGGCUGAUGCUUUUCUUUUGAUGUUUGGUUUGAUAUAUGCAUUACAUCUCAACUACCCCAAAGAGCUGACACACACAUUUAACUUCAUCCAAAAAGUCUUACUGGGCUUGGAUGACUCAAAGCCACUAACACCCAGAUUGCUGAGUCUAAAAAAUGAGCUACUAAUUAAGGAGUAUGAGGAAUGGAUGUACGAGCUCUGUACAAUAUAUUUUCUGUUCUUUUCAGUUGUUGUGAGUGACUACUGUAGUUGCCCUAUUAAACACUGAGCUCAAGAUUUAUAAUUUCCCAGUGAAGUGGAGAAUUUCAUUUUCAUUUUAGUAUUCAUUGGGAUUGCGUUACUGAAAGCCACUAGCACCCAGAUUACUGCCUAAAUUUUAUUUUUACUGAUUAAGAGAUUUUCUGCAUUUCUGGAUGUACAAGAGACUGUUUAUUGUUUUUUAUUUAGCUUGUUGUGAAUAAUAUUGUUACAGUCUGUUGUAAUACUUAUCUCAAAUUUCUACAUUUUCCAGAACACAGAUUGUGUUCACUUAGUAUUUACUGGGAUUGCGUUACUGAAAGCCACUAGCACCCAGAUUACGGUCUAAAUUUUAUUUUUACUGAUUAAGAGAUUUUCUGCAUUUCUGGAUGCUCAAGAGACUGUUUAUUGUAUUUUAUUUCACUUGUUGUGACUAAUAUUGUUAGUCUAUUGUAAUACUUCUCAAAUUUUGAACACAGAUUUUGUGUUAACUUAGUAUUUACUGGGAUUGCGUUACUGAAAGAUGGCCCAGAUUGCUGUUUAACAAUUUUUUUUUACUUGAUAAAGAGUUUUUCCUGCAUCUCUGGAUGCACUAGUUUUCUACACCUUAUCUGUCCUUUUCAUUUGUUGUGACUAAUAUAGUGACAUUCUAAUGUAUACAGAGGUCUGUUAUAAUGCUGGCAUGAACAGUGUAAAAACUUCUGAAAUGUUUUCUGCAUUAUUAUACAUUUCUAAAAUGUCUAGUUGUGAAUUGUGACACUUUUGUUACAUUUUCAAAAGGUAAUGGCAGUGAGGCAUG